rnacentral:rRNA from 1 species
AAAUUGAAGAGUUUGAUCAUGGCUCAGAUUGAACGCUGGCGGCAGGCCUAACACAUGCAAGUCGAACGGUAACAGGAAGCAGCUUGCUGCUUCGCUGACGAGUGGCGGACGGGUGAGUAAUGUCUGGGAAACUGCCUGAUGGAGGGGGAUAACUACUGGAAACGGUGGCUAAUACCGCAUAACGUCGCAAGACCAAAGAGGGGGACCUUCGGGCCUCUUGCCAUCAGAUGUGCCCAGAUGGGAUUAGCUUGUUGGUGAGGUAACGGCUCACCAAGGCGACGAUCCCUAGCUGGUCUGAGAGGAUGACCAGCCACACUGGAACUGAGACACGGUCCAGACUCCUACGGGAGGCAGCAGUGGGGAAUAUUGCACAAUGGGCGCAAGCCUGAUGCAGCCAUGCCGCGUGUAUGAAGAAGGCCUUCGGGUUGUAAAGUACUUUCAGCGGGGAGGAAGGUGUUGUGGUUAAUAACCGCAGCAAUUGACGUUACCCGCAGAAGAAGCACCGGCUAACUCCGUGCCAGCAGCCGCGGUAAUACGGAGGGUGCAAGCGUUAAUCGGAAUUACUGGGCGUAAAGCGCACGCAGGCGGUCUGUCAAGUCGGAUGUGAAAUCCCCGGGCUCAACCUGGGAACUGCAUUCGAAACUGGCAGGCUUGAGUCUUGUAGAGGGGGGUAGAAUUCCAGGUGUAGCGGUGAAAUGCGUAGAGAUCUGGAGGAAUACCGGUGGCGAAGGCGGCCCCCUGGACAAAGACUGACGCUCAGGUGCGAAAGCGUGGGGAGCAAACAGGAUUAGAUACCCUGGUAGUCCACGCCGUAAACGAUGUCUACUUGGAGGUUGUGCCCUUGAGGCGUGGCUUCCGGAGCUAACGCGUUAAGUAGACCGCCUGGGGAGUACGGCCGCAAGGUUAAAACUCAAAUGAAUUGACGGGGGCCCGCACAAGCGGUGGAGCAUGUGGUUUAAUUCGAUGCAACGCGAAGAACCUUACCUGGUCUUGACAUCCACGGAAGUUUUCAGAGAUGAGAAUGUGCCUUCGGGAACCGUGAGACAGGUGCUGCAUGGCUGUCGUCAGCUCGUGUUGUGAAAUGUUGGGUUAAGUCCCGCAACGAGCGCAACCCUUAUCCUUUGUUGCCAGCGGUCCGGCCGGGAACUCAAAGGAGACUGCCAGUGAUAAACUGGAGGAAGGUGGGGAUGACGUCAAGUCAUCAUGGCCCUUACGACCAGGGCUACACACGUGCUACAAUGGCGCAUACAAAGAGAAGCGACCUCGCGAGAGCAAGCGGACCUCAUAAAGUGCGUCGUAGUCCGGAUUGGAGUCUGCAACUCGACUCCAUGAAGUCGGAAUCGCUAGUAAUCGUGGAUCAGAAUGCCACGGUGAAUACGUUCCCGGGCCUUGUACACACCGCCCGUCACACCAUGGGAGUGGGUUGCAAAAGAAGUAGGUAGCUUAACCUUCGGGAGGGCGCUUACCACUUUGUGAUUCAUGACUGGGGUGAAGUCGUAACAAGGUAACCGU